GGGACACGUGGUAUCCUGUCUGAAUAUGGGGGGACCAUCCUCCAAGGCUAAAUACUCCUGACUGACCGAUAGUGAACCAGUACCGUGAGGGAAAGGCGAAAAGAACCCCGGCGAGGGGAGUGAAAAAGAACCUGAAACCGUGUACGUACAAGCAGUGGGAGCACGCUUAGGCGUGUGACUGCGUACCUUUUGUAUAAUGGGUCAGCGACUUAUAUUCUGUAGCAAGGUUAACCGAAUAGGGGAGCCGAAGGGAAACCGAGUCUUAACUGGGCGUUAAGUUGCAGGGUAUAGACCCGAAACCCGGUGAUCUAGCCAUGGGCAGGUUGAAGGUUGGGUAACACUAACUGGAGGACCGAACCGACUAAUGUUGAAAAAUUAGCGGAUGACUUGUGGCUGGGGGUGAAAGGCCAAUCAAACCGGGAGAUAGCUGGUUCUCCCCGAAAGCUAUUUAGGUAGCGCCUCGUGAAUUCAUCUCCGGGGGUAGAGCACUGUUUCGGCAAGGGGGUCAUCCCGACUUACCAACCCGAUGCAAACUGCGAAUACCGGAGAAUGUUAUCACGGGAGACACACGGCGGGUGCUAACGUCCGUCGUGAAGAGGGAAACAACCCAGACCGCCAGCUAAGGUCCCAAAGUCAUGGUUAAGUGGGAAACGAUGUGGGAAGGCCCAGACAGCCAGGAUGUUGGCUUAGAAGCAGCCAUCAUUUAAAGAAAGCGUAAUAGCUCACUGGUCGAGUCGGCCUGCGCGGAAGAUGUAACGGGGCUAAACCAUGCACCGAAGCUGCGGCAGCGACGCUGAUGCGUUGUUGGGUAGGGGAGCGUUCUGUAAGCCUGCGAAGGUGUGCUGUGAGGCAUGCUGGAGGUAUCAGAAGUGCGAAUGCUGACAUAAGUAACGAUAAAGCGGGUGAAAAGCCCGCUCGCCGGAAGACCAAGGGUUCCUGUCCAACGUUAAUCGGGGCAGGGUGAGUCGACCCCUAAGGCGAGGCCGAAAGGCGUAGUCGAUGGGAAACAGGUUAAUAUUCCUGUACUUGGUGUUACUGCGAAGGGGGGACGGAGAAGGCUAUGUUGGCCGGGCGACGGUUGUCCCGGUUUAAGCGUGUAGGCUGGUUUUCCAGGCAAAUCCGGAAAAUCAAGGCUGAGGCGUGAUGA
rnacentral:rRNA from 1 species